rnacentral:rRNA from 1 species
CCAGUGACUUUGUUCAACGGCCGCGGUAUCCUAACCGUGCGAAGGUAGCGUAAUCACUUGUUCUUUAAAUGAGGACUAGUAUGAAUGGCACCACGAAGGUUAUACUGUCUCCUUUCUUUAAUCAGUGAAACUAAUCUCUCCGUGAAGAAGCGGGGAUAUAAUUAUAAGACGAGAAGACCCUAUGGAGCUUUAAACGUGAGUAACAAUUGCCCGCCAUAAUAUUUAUCCCCGGAAAUUAACCGCAAUACUUAGGCAUCUUGAUUACAAGUUUUAGGUUGGGGUGACCGCGGAGCAGAAAAUAACCUCCGCAGUGAAUGGAACUUAUUUCCUAAACCCAGGGCUACGACCCUAAGCAUCAAUAAAUUGACACUAAUUGACCCAAUAUUUUUGAUCAAUGAACCAAGUUACCCUAGGGAUAACAGCGCAAUCCACUUCAAGAGCCCCUAUCGACAAGUGGGUUUACGACCUCGAUGUUGGAUCAGGGUAUCCCAGAGGUGCAGCCGCUACUAAAGGUUCGUUUGUUCAACGA